rnacentral:rRNA from 1 species
GCAUAUCAAUAAGCGGAGGAAAAGAAACCAACAGGGAUUACCUCAGUAACGGCGAGUGAAGCGGUAACAGCUCAAAUUUGAAAUCUGGGUCUUUUAGGCUCCGAGUUGUAAUUUGUAGAAGAUGCUUCGGGUGUGGCCCCGGUCUAAGUUCCUUGGAACAGGACGUCAUAGAGGGUGAGAAUCCCGUAUGUGACUGGGUGCUUUCGCUCAUGUGAAGCUCUUUCGACGAGUCGAGUUGUUUGGGAAUGCAGCUCAAAAUGGGUGGUAUAUUUCAUCUAAAGCUAAAUAUUGGCCAGAGACCGAUAGCGCACAAGUAGAGUGAUCGAAAGAUGAAAAGCACUUUGGAAAGAGAGUUAAACAGUACGUGAAAUUGUUGAAAGGGAAGCGCUUGCAAUCAGACUUGCACGCCGUUAAUCAUCCAGGGUUCUCUCUGGUGCACUUAGCGGCGUUCAGGCCAGCAUCGGUUUUAGGGGUGGGAUAAAGGCCUUGGGAAUGUAGCUUCUUUCGGGAAGUGUUAUAGCCCUCGGUGCAAUGCCGCCUCCUGGGACCGAGGACCGCGCUUCGGCUAGGAUGCUGGCGUAAUGGUUGUAAGCGACCCGUCUUGAAACACGGACCAAGGAGUCUAACAUUUAUGCGAGUAUUUGGGUGUUAAACCCAUAUGCGGAAUGAAAGUGAACGGAGGUAGGAACCCUUAAGGGUGCACUAUCGACCGAUCCUGAUGUCUUCGGAUGGAUUUGAGUAAGAGCAUAACUGUUGGGACCCGAAAGAUGGUGAACUAUGCGUGAAUAGGGUGAAGCCAGAGGAAACUCUGGUGGAGGCUCGCAGCGGUUCUGACGUGCAAAUCGAUCGUCAAAUUUGCGUAUAGGGGCGAAAGACUAAUCGAACCAUCUAGUAGCUGGUUCCUGCCGA